rnacentral:rRNA from 1 species
UACGGAGGAUCCAAGCGUUAUCCGGAAUUACUGGGCGUAAAGAGUUGCGUAGGUGGCAUAGUAAGUAGAUAGUGAAAGCGUGUGGCUCAACCAUAUACACAUUAUCUAAACUGCUAGGCUAGAGUAUAUGAGAGGUAGCUGGAAUUUCUAGUGUAGGAGUGAAAUCCGUAGAUAUUAGAAGGAACACCGAUGGCGUAGGCAGGCUACUGGCAUAUUACUGACACUAAGGCACGAAAGCGUGGGGAGCGAACAGG